GUGUAUGAAUAUUUAAGCAAAGGAUAAAGAGUAACAGUGAAAAACAGUGAAAGUUAAAAAUUCCAUAAACCUGAAUAAGGCAUUGAGUCGCGCGCGCGCGCGCGCACACACACACACACACACACACACACACACACACACACACACACACACACACACACACACACACACACAUGCUGGCGAGAAAACAAAGGGGCACAUUAUUUCAGCCGUAACAUUUUUUCAUCCUGUGGUCAUUUUUUUUUUUUCUGGUAGCUCUUGGGCAAAUCGAGAAAGUACAUACCAUAUUAUACAAUGGUAAGACAAAUCAACAAGACACUAUGUAAUUAUUGUUGCUGUAACGCUCAAAGAAAGGAUUGUGAGUCAACGUAAUCUUAACAUAAUUUCUUCUCACGGAUAACGUUCCACACAGACAGUACGAACAUUUAUUUCUUCACAUACGCCAAAUCUUUCUGCGUUCCACAAAUCUUUCUGUAUCAUUGGCGUACCGAGCGGCUUCGAAACAAGGAACCGAAGAUAUGCGACUCACGUCAGCCAGCCGGCCAGCCACCCAGUGUCGUCUGGUAUGUUACGUGGUGCAUAAGCUUGUCGGAUUCUGUGCUUUCUCCAACAUCUCUAAUACUUACUUGUGGUCGUCGGGUUAUGUGCUUUCUCCAACACCUCUAAUACUCACUUGUGGUUGAGGCGAAACAAGACUGCCUCAGCCCCACUUGAAGCCUGUCCCCAAAGGUCCAGCUGUGAUUGCCACAGCUGCGCUUCACGAUGGUCCUGUCAGGUGAGUGUUGAUUAAUCUGCCUCACUCCCCAGCAAGGUGGUGGAGAAUACUCACUAAGCUGUCACUGCAUUGGACCAUAAAAACACCAUUGAAAACCUCCAUGACUUUUGGGAGCAUUUUCAAAGGCCACAGAGAUUACUAGUCGGGUUUUCAUGCAUGUUUUAUCCCUUGACGGUACAGAAAUGUUGUCAGACUAUCACUAGAAUCAUGAAUGCACUAACUGAAAACCUGCAUAACAUUCAGGAGUAUUUUCAAAGGCCACAUAAAUGACUGAUCGAGUU